rnacentral:lncRNA from 1 species
AAGGGCAAAGUAACUCCACGAAGGUAACUUCAAUAUCUUUUCAAGCUUGACAGAGAUGCAUCUGAAACGAGGAAUGCUGGAACUGGAAGGAUCUUUUGAAUAUGCAGAAACUAAAAAGGGAGAAACCAAACAGAAAGAAAAAAAAGCAUGGCUAGCUUCACGUAGAGAUGGAUUUUCCGUUCCACAGAAACUAAUUUGCCUCCAAUGCAAAUUCUCUGUUGAAAGGAUGUGCCUACACUGCAGCUGAAAAUGCUUCUGACAUAGGUUAUGUGGGUACUAAAGCAGUAUGGGCAGCCAAAUAACAGUAACAGCAAAACUGAAAUCACAGAGAUCUACUAUUAGAAAUGCAAUCGAGGGUUCCCUGUCCAAUUCUGAAACACCCGGUUUCCCGGCGUUUAGGUUUGCAUUGCACUAAAUGUGUUAGCGACAGUUUCCACUUUUAUUUUUGAAGGUAUGCAGUACAUGGUGCUUUUGGUCUUACUGUUACAAUGCAGUCCUUGUGCACUUCUGUCCUUGUGACAGAAACUGGAUCCCCUCUGCAGUAUCAAAGCUUCUGCUUAAGUACACGGCACGUGCAGUGACAGUGCAGAGGUUUUAGGGCAUUCAGUAUAUUUUCACUGUGAACUGCUAAGGGAAUAAGGAUUUGCCUACACACACGAAUAUUCCAGAACAACAACAACAAAUUAUGUAUGGAGACUUUUCUGGUAUUGCCCCAUGAUUUGGAGUCUGGCAGUAUAAAUAACUGUGAAUAGCCUUCUCAAUCAUUAGCUUCUGAGACAGCCCAGGAACUACUAGCAAUUGUCAUUGCUGUGUGUGACUUGUGGUAAUACCGUCACCCGAAAUCUACAUUAAAAUUAACAUUUCAUCGGGGAAGGAACACGACUUCUGACAGCUCUUGUGAAUUAACUCUGAGGGACAGGAUCUUGGUAGAUGUAGGAGAUAGCUCACACUGAGCAGAGAGAUCCUCAGUUCUCACCGCUUUUGAGAUUCACCACACUCACAGAGUUGUGGGCAAGAGACAGAGAGACUGAGGGCUGUAGCACUCUCUUAGCACUCAGCUCUUUCAGACACUGGCUGCAUAUAUUAAAAAGGAAAACAUGAGGCACAGAAGGCAGGCAUGAAGGGCCUUCUUUCUGGAGCAGCACAGAACAGCAGUAGAAAAGCUUUAUUGUGUCAGUACUGAGGCAGAGGUUGUGACAAGUACUGUGCUUCAAUCUGAGGCAGAGGGGAGAUCCUGGGUUAGGAAAAUAGU